UUUCUUUUUCUGUUUUCUUUUUUCUUUCUUCUUUUUUCUUUUCUGGAUGUUUAAUUUGUCGAACCGCAAAACAAUGGGAGGGCAAGG
rnacentral:ribozyme from 1 species